GUUAAGGAACUUGCCCAAAGCCCCCCAUCUAAGAAAGGGCCUGGAUUCAAAUCCUGUGGUCCAACUCUGGCACCUGUGUGGCAACCAUUUGGGUUUGGGGCUGGCUGUGUAUUUAGGGUGGCUCAUUCCAAGAUUCACUGGAAACACUGCGUAGCUGUUUCUGAGCAAGUGUUCCCCGGGGCUGCAGGUGUGAGCUCUGAAACCGCCUAAGGAGGAAGCCCUCCGUUUAUCUGCGUCUUCUCCCUUUGUUGGAAGCCACUGCCAUAUGGAGCUGCCCCAAGCGUCUGCUCCUGAGCCGCCCCUCCCUCCUCCUCCCACUCCAGCAUGCAGCACCCUCCAAGCUCAGGCUUCGUCUCUCCCCUUCCCUCCCGCCAUCCCCAGUACGUCCACUCCUUGUCACCUCCCAUCACGGGAAGCAGACACUGGCCCUCUGAUGCAAGGCAGAGAAACCACUGAGCUUCCCCAGGCCUUCAAUUUCCCAAAAGGAUCUAUUUGAUUAAUUGCACUCACACUCCUAAGUCC
rnacentral:lncRNA from 10 species